GACGAACGCUGGCGGCGUGCCUAAUACAUGCAAGUAGAACGCUGAGGUUUGGUGUUUACACUAGACUGAUGAGUUGCGAACGGGUGAGUAACGCGUAGGUAACCUGCCUCAUAGCGGGGGAUAACUAUUGGAAACGAUAGCUAAUACCGCAUAAGAGUAAUUAACACAUGUUGGUUAUUUAAAAGGAGCAAUUGCUUCACUGUGAGAUGGACCUGCGUUGUAUUAGCUAGUUGGUGAGGUAAAGGCUCACCAAGGCGACGAUACAUAGCCGACCUGAGAGGGUGAUCGGCCACACUGGGACUGAGACACGGCCCAGACUCCUACGGGAGGCAGCAGUAGGGAAUCUUCGGCAAUGGACGGAAGUCUGACCGAGCAACGCCGCGUGAGUGAAGAAGGUUUUCGGAUCGUAAAGCUCUGUUGUUAGAGAAGAACGUUGGUAGGAGUGGAAAAUCUACCAAGUGACGGUAACUAACCAGAAAGGGACGGCUAACUACGUGCCAGCAGCCGCGGUAAUACGUAGGUCCCGAGCGUUGUCCGGAUUUAUUGGGCGUAAAGCGAGCGUAGGCGGUUCUUUAAGUCUGAAGUUAAAGGCAGUGGCUUAACCAUUGUACGCUUUGGAAACUGGAGGACUUGAGUGCAGAAGGGGAGAGUGGAAUUCCAUGUGUAGCGGUGAAAUGCGUAGAUAUAUGGAGGAACACCGGUGGCGAAAGCGGCUCUCUGGUCUGUAACUGACGCUGAGGCUCGAAAGCGUGGGGAGCAAACAGG
rnacentral:rRNA from 1 species